GUCCUCCAGAGGGCGACAGAGCACCAGCAGAGCCCGCUGCAUCUCCCUGUUUGCAUCUCCAGGCUCAGAUUGGAUUGAAAAGGGACCCAUGGAAUCCCAAGGAGGGGCCCAGAGCCUGGGGUUUGUUUUCAUGGUGCCCUGACACUUCAGCCCAGUGGGACUCCAGUCAGUGAGGGCAUGGACUUUUGCCAUCACGUAUCUGAUUCCAUUCCUGCCAGUCAGGCGGCCAGAGUAUGAGUGAGUUUGACUGGCUCUCCGGGGUCUAAGUGUCCUUUUCUUGUUUGAAUCCUGGACAUGCAGUUUUCAAAUCAGCCUGGCAGGGUGUUUGAAGUCUAGAAACCUGAGCUUCAGGGUCUUAAGGUCCUAUGUCUACACUUUCAGAGUGCGAUCUGUGCUUACGGUGUGGUUCUUUCUCUCCAGGGUUCCCCAAAGCCUCUGUCUGCCUUCUGCAGCUGAGCUGCUUCAGCCUCUGUGGGACACCCAUUUGAAGGAAUCUGUCCAAAUCCAUGUAAGAGAUCUCCUCUUAUUUUUUUCCCUCCCACCUGAGGCUCUUCCUCCUCACUAGACACCUGUUCCAAAGAAGCUCCUGCAACUAGGUAAGAUGAAUCAAGCCUGGGUGGUCCUUGGUUUCUAUCUGGGUCCCAGGGCUGAAGGGUGCCGAUUGAUUCAGAGCCGGCUGAAGUGACUUACAGAGCUGGGUCUUUGAUUUCAAGGUGUGGGCUUGUGUCGUGAAGGUUGAGUAUCCAGGGUGACAGUGAAGAAUCCAUACUCCCACCCAAGAGUGGAUUUCAGUGUGCCUGAGAGGAAGAGGAAGUAAGACAUCUUGCUGGCUUGUCCCCCAGGUCAGUGCAGACCAGAGUUUUGCUGUGGGAGGCAGAGGAAGGG
rnacentral:lncRNA from 1 species